GCCAGGCCGACUGAGGUUUCGCCAGGCCGGCCUUGCUCCGGCCGCAACACCGUCGAUCGGGAGUGUCCGCCUGAUCGGCGCGCCGUGUCCCUUUGCUGCCGGGUCGCCUCGACCCGGCAGGUUUUUGCGACCGCGACGCCGGCGUCCGCCAGCGUUGCGCAAAUAGGACGCUGUGACCGUCUUGUUAAAAUUUGGCUAAACGCGUGAUAUUCUCAAUUCCGUUCAGUUCCCGUCUGAACUGACGUUCCCAGACUGUCUCCCAUGACCCAGCAACGCACCCUCAAGAACACGAUCCGCGCCACCGGCGUAGGCUUGCAUAGUGGCGACAAGGUGU
rnacentral:sRNA from 1 species